AUAGAAUUGGAACGUUUUUUUUAUCAAAACUCGAGAAACCGCGGAAAACUUUUAUGAAUGUGUUGUGUAGUGGUUUUUUCCUCAUUAUCGUUCAUAGUUACAAACGUCACGGACCAACAAACGUCAUGGACCAGAGCUGAUCUGCGAUAACGCACACAUAUAUGAAAUUUGACAGCAGUGAAUCCCCUCUGGUUCAUAUCGUUUCCAGGAAAAUUCGUUACGAAAAAAUAUCAAAUUCACCUUGUUUGUAUUUUCCUGGUGUCUAUUGUAUUGUUGCCGCUAUCAAACAACAAAGUAUUUUUCGUUCUGCUUAUUCCUUGGCACUCGACAAAGUUAGCGAAAAAGACUCGUUGCGGAUUUCGUACUAUAUCUCGACAUCCUACAAAAAACCUGCUGACAGUAAUUCAAAAAAUAGACCUACCUAUUAAUAUUUGCGAAAUAAGAUUAUGUUCACCACAGUUUAACACGGACACGGAACAAAUUGUACUAACUCCUAUGGACACGGAAAACCCGAGUUUCCCGUUCCUGCAAAAGAUUAAACUGGCUCCAAACGUUCUCACGUUAGUUUCGAAUCCUCAAGAAGAAACGUUGGCAACAGAUCCGAUAGCUAUGCAAAUUUUUUUUUUUUAUUCUCGCUUAUUUUCCGUCGGUCUAGUUCCGCCACUGUUGUUGUGCCAAUCACCGACGCCCGGGAAGGCGACUCCACCCAGGACCCUAACUCACGACCCGUUUAUUAACGGACCGGCGCCAACGGCUUUACUUCCUCAUGCGAUGGAAGGCGUGAUCCCAGAGAUUUUUCGCCUCAGAAAAUCUCCCGGUGUCGGCUAGGAUUGAAUCUAGACCAGUUGGGUUGGUUGUGAGCGGAUCACGCCACCUCACAACCAUCGACACCUAUGUCGGCGGUGGGAUUCGAACCCAAGCGUCGAGCGUGGUUGGCAGAGACGCUACCAACUACGCUAGGCCCCCGCUCGAUAGCUAUGCAAAUGUUAACCGAUCAAUGUAUAGAAGAAUGUGACGAGCAAUCUGAAGAGGUGUCUACUUUAUUUCCGGAAACACCUACUGUCACAUCUGAUCCAGAGGAAAUUUUGAAUCAAGCUGGUCAAAAUGAAAAUCAGACGCCUAAUACAUCUAUGAAACGAACAUUACCUGACGGACCUGGAUACCAGACUAAAAAGCCUGCUACCAGCGCGAUUAAGUUUAUGUCAUUCCGAAUAAAUUGGACUAAAAUUAGUGACAUCCUACUAGGUCGGUUGAACGCAUUACAGGAUUAUAAACGUGAGUAUCCAAACACUCGGAAUGAUCAAAUCCCAGUGUAUUUGCGUUUGAAGAAAAAUGAAAAAAGUUUACUUGUCAACACUUUGGUGGAUCAACUACGAGCUAUUGAUAAAAACGUUCCCGCUGAUGUAAUGGAAUCCGUUUCAGAGCAAUUGUUGAAGAGGUAUCCGUGCCUCGAAACCGCUGACGACGAUGGAUUUUCAAACGGUUUAAGUCACAUUGCGAUCAAACUGAAAAUGAUAAACCGUAAGUGCUAUCUCAAUAACCUCGAUAAAUCAGAAGGAAAGCCUGUUCCGGUGAUUUCAAAGCCCCGAAACUGCAAGCAGGUACCAUUCCGGGAUAUUGGAAGUUUUCGUCUAGUCAGUGUUCGAAAGAAAUUUUUCUAAGCUCCGUCGAGAUGAGCCGUCUCUGCUGACCGAAGAGUUUUUGAGUGAAUUCUAGGCAUUCGUUCGAUCACGAUUGGACGAAAACAAGGAGCUCAAAAAAAUUCUUUCGGAGUUACCUGUUCUACGGCGUCGUCAACUUCUCCAUUAUCACUUCAAACAAGCAACUGGCAUUGAAAUUGGAAUUCUUCAAUCAUACUUCAGCUCCAAGCGAGCCAAAAUAGUUGAUUACUCAACUACGCAAAAACUGUUUAAGCUGCAGCAGACAUGCACGGAUUAUGAUGUACUUGCUUUUCUAGCCAAGCUAGUAGGAGAAAAUCUCGAGGAUCUCGUUUUGAAGAAAGAGGUCGGCACAUGCAUUGACAAUAUCCGCGAGGAAUCUCCUGGUCCGAAUAUAAUUUGCAUAGGUAAUACAUAUUUCGUACAAUUUUCGUAGUUUCUUGAAUACCAUGUGGUGCCCACUCAUCGCUCACUGGAGCACAAAAUCAAAGUCAUAAUAUUAAAAAAAAGAUAGAUAUUUGACGAUCAUUUUGCAGCACAUGAACAAUUUUUACUAAUUUUAACUUGAGAAAAAAUCAAACUAGGUAAACAAUAGACGCAACCUAUUUUUUGCUUUGCGUAAGAGUGACCAUUAGCCUUAGCCCGAUUCGUCAUUUGGACCAUCAGCUUUACUUCCCUCUCGAAGGAAGAAUGUCGGGAUCAAGAUUAGAAACCUUGAUUCCUGAGGCGCCAGACCAACUGCUGCAAGACAAAAUAUGAUUUUAAAGCUUUUGAUAUGUAAUAUUUGGCGUUGGAUUAGAAAAUCAAUCAUGCAAGUUGUUUCCAUAAAUGGAGAUCAGGGGGUGAAUGAGUACUACACGUUAGCUUUGUAUUUAAAGAUGUUGCAAAUUUGAAAAAAAGAA